rnacentral:rRNA from 1 species
UACAGAGGUCCCAAGCGUUGUUCGGAUUCACUGGGCGUAAAGGGUGCGUAGGUGGUUAGGUAAGUCUGAUGUGAAAUCUCUGGGCUCAACCCAGAAACUGCAUUGGAUACUAUCUAGCUAGAGGAGUGGAGGGGGGACUGGAAUACUUGGUGUAGCAGUGAAAUGCGUAGAUAUCAAGUGGAACACCAGUGGCGAAGGCGAGUCCCUGGACACUUCCUGACACUGAGGGACGAAAGCUAGGGGAGCGAAUGGG